AUGGCCCCCAAAUGCCAGUCUCCGCUCCCACCUCAAAAGAAGAAACCAAGACUGCCUACUGCUCCCAGACCGGAGGACAACUUCGGGCUCUCAGGGAUUGCCAAAAAAGAAAGAAAAAUAAUAGCAGGAAGCAACUGAACAUAUUGAUGAGGUAUAAAAUGAAAUAGACAGACUUAAUGAACAAGCCAGUGAGGAGAUUUUGAAAGUAGAACAGAAAUAUAACAAACUCCGCCAACCAUUUUUUCAGAAGAGGUCAGAAUUGAUCGCCAAAAUCCCAAAUUUGGGGGUAACAGCAUUUGUCAACCAUCCACAAGUGUCUGCGCUGCUGGGGGAGGAGGAUGAAGAGGCACUGCAUUAUUUGACCAGAGUUGAAGUGACAGAAUUUGAAGAUAUUAAAUCAGGUUACAGAAUAGAUUUUUAUUUUGAUGAAAACCCUUACUUCGAAAAUAAAGUUCUCUCCAAAGACUUUCAUCUGAACAAGAGUGGUGAUCCAUCUUCAAAGUCCACUGAAAUCAAAUGGAAAUCUGUCAAGGAUUUGACGAAACGUUCCAGUCAAACACAGAACAAAGCCAGCAGGAAGAGGCAGCAUGAGGAACCAGAGAGCUUCUUUACCUGUUUCCUGACCAUUCUGAUGCAGGUGCAGAUGAAUGAGGAGAGGUCAUCAAAGAAGAUAUUUGGCCAAAUCCAUUACAGUACUACUUGGUUCCUGAUUAGGAUGAUGAAGAAGGAGAAGGAGAAGAAGAUGAUGAUGAAGAAGAAGGUUUGGAAGAUAUUGAUGAAGAAGGGGAUAGGGAUGAAGGUGAGGAAGAUGAAGAUGAUGAUGAAGGGGAGGAAGGAGAGGAGGAGGAAGGAGAAGAUGACUAACAGGACACUGAUGGAUUCCAACCUUUUUUAAAAUUUUCUCCAGUCCCUGGGAGCAAGUUGCAGUCUUUUUUUUUUUCCUCUUGUGCUCAGUCGCCCUGUUCUUGAGGUCUCUUUUCUCUACACCAUGAUUCUCAACUUAUUUGGGGGGGAAAUACCUUGAGCAGAAUACAAUGGGAAAAGAAUCUCUACUCGUUUCUGUUCCAAAUUCAUUUUUAUCCCUUCCUGUCUCAACAAAAACUGUAUGGAAUCAACCCCACCGAGCUCUGUGGGAAAAAAGAAAAACCUGCUCCCUUGGCUCUGCUGGAAGCUGGAGGGUGCCAGGCCCCUGUGUAGUAGUGGAUAGAAUUCUAUUUCUAGCUUUUUCCCUCCUUUCUCUGUAUAUUGGGCUCAGAGAGUACACUGUGUCUCUAUGUGAAUAUGGACAGUCAGCAUUUACCAACAUGUAUCUGUCUACUUUCUCUUGUUUAAAAAAAAAAAAACUUUAAAAAAUGGGGCAUAGAAGGUCAGCAGAGGGUGGGUUUGAGAUGUUUGGGUGG